CCUACGGGCGGCAGCAGUGGGGAAUAUUGGACAAUGGGGGGAACCCUGAUCCAGCCAUGCCGCGUGUGUGAAGAAGGCCCUCGGGUUGUAAAGCACUUUCAGUGAGGAAGAACGCCUGGUGGUUAAUACCCAUCAGGAAAGACAUCACUCACAGAAGAAGCACCGGCUAACUCCGUGCCAGCAGCCGCGGUAAUACGGAGGGUGCGAGCGUUAAUCGGAAUUACUGGGCGUAAAGCGCGCGUAGGUGGUUUGAUAAGCCGGUUGUGAAAGCCCCGGGCUCAACCUGGGAACGGCAUCCGGAACUGUCAAGCUAGAGUGCAGGAGAGGAAGGUAGAAUUCCCGGUGUAGCGGUGAAAUGCGUAGAGAUCGGGAGGAAUACCAGUGGCGAAGGCGGCCUUCUGGACUGACACUGACAUUGAGGUGCGAAAGCGUGGGUAGCAAACAGGAUUAGAUACCCCUGUAGUC
rnacentral:rRNA from 1 species